rnacentral:rRNA from 1 species
UGGGGAAUUUUGGACAAUGGGCGAAAGCCUGAUCCAGUAAUGCCGCGUGUGUGAAGAAGGCCUUCGGGUUGUAAAGCACUUUUGUCCGGAAAGAAAUCCUUGGCUCUAAUACAGUCGGGGGAUGACGGUACCGGAAGAAUAAGCACCGGCUAACUACGUGCCAGCAGCCGCGGUAAUACGUAGGGUGCAAGCGUUAAUCGGAAUUACUGGGCGUAGAGCGUGCGCAGGCGGUUUGCUAAGACCGAUGUGAAAUCCCCGGGCUCAACCUGGGAACUGCAUUGGGUGACUGGCAGGCUAGAGUAUGGCAGAGGGGGGUAGAAUUCCACGUGUAGCAGUGAAAUGCGUAGAGAUGUGGAGGAAUACCGAUGGCGAAGGCAGCCCCCCUGGGGCCAAUACUGACGCUCAUGCACGAAAGCGUGGGGGAGCAAACAGGAUUAGAUACCCUGGUAGUCCACGCCCUAAACGAUGUCAACUAGUUGUUGGGGAUUCAUUUCCUUAGUAACGUAGCUAACGCGUGAAGUUGACCGCCUGGGGAGUACGGUCGCAAGAUUAAAACUCAAAUGAAUUGACGGGGUCAUAGCUGUUUCCU